CCUACGGGAGGCUGCAGUGGGGAAUAUUGGACAAUGGGCGAAAGCCUGAUCCAGCCAUGCCGCGUGUGUGAAGAAGGCCUUCGGGUUGUAAAGCACUUUCAGUGGGGAAGAAAGCCUUGGGGCUAAUACCCUCGAGGAAGGACAUCACCCACAGAAGAAGCACCGGCUAACUCCGUGCCAGCAGCCGCGGUAAUACGGAGGGUGCGAGCGUUAAUCGGAAUUACUGGGCGUAAAGCGCGCGUAGGCGGUCUGAUAAGCCGGUUGUGAAAGCCCCGGGCUCAACCUGGGAACGGCAUCCGGAACUGUCAGGCUAGAGUGCAGGAGAGGAAGGUAGAAUUCCCGGUGUAGCGGUGAAAUGCGUAGAGAUCGGGAGGAAUACCAGUGGCGAAGGCGGCCUUCUGGACUGACACUGACGCUGAGGUGCGAAAGCGUGGGUAGCAAACAGGAUUAGACACCCCAGUAGUC
rnacentral:rRNA from 1 species